rnacentral:rRNA from 2 species
AGGACGAACGCUGGCGGCGUGCUUAACACAUGCAAGUCGAGCGGUAAGGCCUCUUCGGGGGUACACGAGCGGCGAACGGGUGAGUAACACGUGGGUGACCUGCCCUCAGCUCUGGGAUAAGCCUGGGAAACUGGGUCUAAUACUGGAUAUUCACUUCUCAUCGCAUGGUGGGUGGUGGAAAGUUUUUUCGGCUGGGGAUGGGCCCGCGGCCUAUCAGCUUGUUGGUGGGGUGAUGGCCUACCAAGGCGACGACGGGUA